rnacentral:rRNA from 1 species
UACGGAGGGUGCUAGCGUUGUUCGGAAUCACUGGGCGUAAAGGGCGUGUAGGCGGUCUGUUAAGUCUGAUGUGAAAUCCCCUCGCUCAACGAGGGAACUGCGUCGGAUACUGGCAGACUUGAGUACCGGAGAGGAAGGCGGAAUUCUCGGUGUAGAGGUGAAAUUCGUAGAUAUCGAGAGGAACAUCGGUGGCGAAGGCGGCCUUCUGGACGAUGACUGACGCUGAGACGCGAAAGCGUGGGGAGCAAACAGG